rnacentral:rRNA from 1 species
AGAGUUUGAUCAUGGCUCAGAUUGAACGCUGGCGGCAGGCCUAACACAUGCAAGUCGAACGGUAACAGGAAGCAGCUUGCUGCUUUGCUGACGAGUGGCGGACGGGUGAGUAAUGUCUGGGAAACUGCCUGAUGGAGGGGGAUAACUACUGGAAACGGUGGCUAAUACCGCAUAACGUCGCAAGACCAAAGAGGGGGACCUUCGGGCCUCUUGCCAUCAGAUGUGCCCAGAUGGGAUUAGCUUGUUGGUGAGGUAACGGCUCACCAAGGCGACGAUCCCUAGCUGGUCUGAGAGGAUGACCAGCCACACUGGAACUGAGACACGGUCCAGACUCCUACGGGAGGCAGCAGUGGGGAAUAUUGCACAAUGGGCGCAAGCCUGAUGCAGCCAUGCCGCGUGUAUGAAGAAGGCCUUCGGGUUGUAAAGUACUUUCAGCGGGGAGGAAGGUGUUGCGGUUAAUAACCGCAGCAAUUGACGUUACCCGCAGAAGAAGCACCGGCUAACUCCGUGCCAGCAGCCGCGGUAAUACGGAGGGUGCAAGCGUUAAUCGGAAUUACUGGGCGUAAAGCGCACGCAGGCGGUCUGUCAAGUCGGAUGUGAAAUCCCCGGGCUCAACCUGGGAACUGCAUUCGAAACUGGCAGGCUUGAGUCUUGUAGAGGGGGGUAGAAUUCCAGGUGUAGCGGUGAAAUGCGUAGAGAUCUGGAGGAAUACCGGUGGCGAAGGCGGCCCCCUGGACAAAGACUGACGCUCAGGUGCGAAAGCGUGGGGAGCAAACAGGAUUAGAUACCCUGGUAGUCCACGCCGUAAACGAUGUCUACUUGGAGGUUGUGCCCUUGAGGCGUGGCUUCCGGAGCUAACGCGUUAAGUAGACCGCCUGGGGAGUACGGCCGCAAGGUUAAAACUCAAAUGAAUUGACGGGGGCCCGCACAAGCGGUGGAGCAUGUGGUUUAAUUCGAUGCAACGCGAAGAACCUUACCUGGUCUUGACAUCCACAGAACUUUCCAGAGAUGGAUUGGUGCCUUCGGGAACUGUGAGACAGGUGCUGCAUGGCUGUCGUCAGCUCGUGUUGUGAAAUGUUGGGUUAAGUCCCGCAACGAGCGCAACCCUUAUCCUUUGUUGCCAGCGGUCCGGCCGGGAACUCAAAGGAGACUGCCAGUGAUAAACUGGAGGAAGGUGGGGAUGACGUCAAGUCAUCAUGGCCCUUACGACCAGGGCUACACACGUGCUACAAUGGCGCAUACAAAGAGAAGCGACCUCGCGAGAGCAAGCGGACCUCAUAAAGUGCGUCGUAGUCCGGAUUGGAGUCUGCAACUCGACUCCAUGAAGUCGGAAUCGCUAGUAAUCGUGGAUCAGAAUGCCACGGUGAAUACGUUCCCGGGCCUUGUACACACCGCCCGUCACACCAUGGGAGUGGGUUGCAAAAGAAGUAGGUAGCUUAACCUUCGGGAGGGCGCUUACCACUUUGUGAUUCAUGACUGGGGUGAAGUCGUAACAAGGUAACCGUAGGGGAACCUGCGGUUG